rnacentral:rRNA from 1 species
GACGAACGCUGGCGGCGUGCUUAACACAUGCAAGUCGAACGGAAAGGCCCCUCGGGGUACUCGAGUGGCGAACGGGUGAGUAACACGUGGGUGAUCUGCCCUGCACUUUGGGAUAAGCCUGGGAAACUGGGUCUAAUACCGAAUAGGACCACGCGCUUCAUGGUGUGUGGUGGAAAGCUUUUGCGGUGUGGGAUGGGCCCGCGGCCUAUCAGCUUGUUGGUGGGGUAAUGGCCUACCAAGGCGACGACGGGUAGCCGGCCUGAGAGGGUGACCGGCCACACUGGGACUGAGAUACGGCCCAGACUCCUACGGGAGGCAGCAGUGGGGAAUAUUGCACAAUGGGCGCAAGCCUGAUGCAGCGACGCCGCGUGAGGGAUGACGGCCUUCGGGUUGUAAACCUCUUUCAAUAGGGACGAAGCGCAAGUGACGGUACCUAUAGAAGAAGCACCGGCCAACUACGCG